GUUUGUUUGAAAUCAUGUGUUUGAUUGUCUUCACCUGUGUCCACUCUAUAAGACAAUGAACACACAAGCAUGGUGCUCAGAGCAUCAGACUACCACACAUCAGCUGCUGAUGGUGCGUAACUAUGGAUUAUCUCCUUCGUAUAAGGAUGCUCCAGUGUCUCCUCUGCUAAAGGAGGUAACAAAGGAAGCACUGAGGGACCUUUCUUUAGUAUUCAUCCUACCAGCUGUGAUUAUGGCUGCCACACAAACACGUUCAGGUCGCGUCGAUGACCUGAGGAUCGUGCUGUUUGGGAAGACCGGGGUUGGUAAAAGUACUCUAGGAAACAUCAUCAUGGGGAACACAGAGACUUUCAUCUUAAAGGAUUGCACACAGAAAUCCCACAGCACUGUCGAAGGUCAAAAAGUGGUUGUUGUUGAUACUCCAGGUCUGUUUAAACCUGGAAAACAUGAAGAUGAGCUGGUGAACGAGAUCAAGUGAUCCAUCGAUCUUGCCAGUCCUGGUCCUCAUGUGUUUCUGCUGGUGCUGAGAUUCGGUAUGAUCACCUCUGAAGAAUUAAAGGUACUGGAGGUUUUUUGAGCGCACCUUUGGCAGACGUGCAUUGGCCUACACAACAGUGGUGUUCACCCAUAGAAAUGAAGCCUAGCCUAGACAUAGCCUUAGAUGCUGGGGAAUCAAAGGCAGACGGCUCUGCUGAAAAAUGAAUAAGGGAGGGUGAGAGGAAAAAACAGAGAGCUCGAACAGGAAGCACAGCGUGUUUCUGCUCACAGUCUCAGAGGUGAAGCCCUGAAGCUGUGUGGUUUAGUGAAAUGCUGCCCUCUGCUGCUCACAGGAGGAAACACAGCCUGCAGCUCCAAACAAACAAGCCUCUGCUGCUGAGCCUGUUGUUCUGCAGUUUCACCAUCAACCACUAGGUGGCACUGAUGUUUCUCUCUGUGAGUUGAUCCAGCUGCCCCGACAUGAACUCAUGUCUCCUUUUCCAGAUCAGUUUCCACACAGUGGGAAAAGGCCGUGGAGUGAAGGAAAGGUGUGAAGGAGAGACUUAUAAGGACUUAGGAAAGGAGAAGGAGGCUUUUACGCUGGACUCCUUAAUCAUGUCUGCACUGCUACACUGUCUACAGGAUGGACUACAAAAGCCAGUCUUACGAUCAUCCCAGCGUGUUCUGUCGUUUCCUGCAGGGAAAUAUAACACUUCACUCAACUGCGAGAAUUCAAACAGCUUUAUUGUGACUGCAGAUACUCCGGGGUCAGUGCAGAAAAACAGCGACAGAAGAAGAAGCAGCCAGAAGUGUGUAGGAGGCCAAUCACAGCUCGGGAGACACUUGGGGACAUUUUUAUUAUUAUUGUGAAAACUAAUUAAAAAUACUAUAAAUGCUUUAAAUGAACUAGAAAAUAAAAAAUGAACGGUGGAGGAAAAAAAGUUGUUUUCAUGACAAUCUUCAUGCAAAAAAGUUACAUUAAUAUUAUUUUAAAAUAACAAUAUUCGCAGCAAAUAUUUGAAAAAUGUUUGUUAAUGAGCACUGAAAUGUUUUUUUUUUUUUGACUAACAGAGAUUAAUGUAGAAAAGAGUUCAGUGAGCUUUGAGGCUGAAAUCAUCCCACACACUUUCUUUUUUUGGUCUUUGGUGACGUCAGAAGCUCUCAGACGAGAGCCAACGUGAAUAUGAAUCUGAAGCCUGCCAGCUUCCAUUACCGCCUUCUUCAAACUGCUACUAAAAUUUAGCCUAGCAUUACUUUGGCAGGAAGUGAUGUCACUAUUAAGAGUCUGACAGAUGGCGAGCUGCAGUCUGGAGUCACUCUGAGCGUCGAACAUCAGAACAGGAC
ensembl:lncRNA